GCUUACGGCCAUACCACCCUGAGAACGCCCGAUCUUGUCUGAUCUCGGAAGCUAAGCAGGGUUGGCCUGGUUACUACUUGGAUGGGAGACCGCCUAGGAAUACCAGGUGCUGUAAGCU
rnacentral:rRNA from 1 species